rnacentral:rRNA from 1 species
UACGUAGGGGGCGAGCGUUGUCCGAAGUUACUGGGCGUAAAGCGCGCGUAGGCGGUCAUUUAAGUCUGAGGUGAAAGGUUCAGCGCUCAACGUGAACAGUGCCUUGGAUACUGGGUGACUUGAGUUCGGGAGGGGGCAGUGGAAUUCCAGGUGUAGCGGUGAAAUGCGUAGAUAUCUGGAGGAACACCGAUGGCGAAGGCAGCUGCCUGGCCCAGAACUGACGCUGAGGUGCGAAAGCGUGGGGAGCGAACGGGG